rnacentral:rRNA from 1 species
UACGUAGGGGGCAAGCGUUGUCCGGAAUCAUUGGGCGUAAAGCGCGUGUAGGCGGGUCGGUAAGUCCGCUCUGAAAGCCCGGGGCUCAACCCCGGGAGGCGGGUGGAUACUGUCGACCUCGAGUCCGGAAGAGGCGAGUGGAAUUCCUGGUGUAGCGGUGAAAUGCGCAGAUAUCAGGAGGAACACCAAUGGCGAAGGCAGCUCGCUGGGACGGUACUGACGCUGAGGCACGAAAGCGUGGGGAGCAAACAGG